rnacentral:rRNA from 1 species
UUUAAGUCUAUUCUGACAGACAAAUAAGAAUAAGACUAUUAUUAAUACAAGUUAAGAAUGGUCAGCGUUCAAACAACAACAUUUUACAAUGGAGAGUUUGAUCCUGGCUCAGGAUGAACGCUAGCGGCAGGCCUAAUACAUGCAAGUCGAACGAUACUCUUUAGCUUGCUAGAGAGGAAAGUGGCGCACGGGUGCGUAACGCGUAUGCAACCUACCUUAAUCAGGGGGAUAGCCCGAAGAAAUUCGGAUUAACACCGCAUAAAAUCACAGUACAGCAUUGUACAAUGAUCAAAUAUUUAUAGGAUUAAGAUGGGCAUGCGUGACAUUAGUUAGUUGGCGGGGUAACGGCCCACCAAGACCACGAUGUCUAGGGGAUCUGAGAGGAUGACCCCCCACACUGGUACUGAGACACGGACCAGACUCCUACGGGAGGCAGCAGUAAGGAAUAUUGGUCAAUGGAGGCAACUCUGAACCAGCCAUGCCGCGUGCAGGAAGACAGCCCUCUGGGUCGUAAACUGCUUUUAUUCGGGAAUAAACC